GGGAGACAACAAAUGUUAAACUGAUUUUUGGAAAGAGGCAGAUAGUUCGGGGCUUGCUCCACAUCUGCCGCGGGUUGGCCCGGUAUUGCAGUACCGCCGGGAUCGGCCCACAGAAU
rfam:Anopheles farauti strain FAR1 cont2.2838, whole genome shotgun sequence.